CACACAUCUGGUCCAACACUACUUUGGGAUAUGUUUUGCUAAGGUUGCUGUUCUGCCUGGAAGGCCCUCAUUCCUCAGCUGCAUGACCCGAGGUUUCCUUCCUCUAAGACCUUGCUAGCGGCUCCUAGAUGCCUUCCAAACCAAAUUCUCUUCUAUGAGAUCAGCUCUUAGCUUUGUAUUCCCUGGCACUUAUGGAGUAUGUUAUGGAGUCUCCUGCCAGUGCUUCCAAUCGCUGAACUGAACUGGGAACAAAUCAACAAGGGAAACCAAGAGAUGCAUUCCUUGAAGUUCAGCCUCCAGGCCUCAAGUAAGGCAGAGGAAGAGAAUACAUAGAUCUGUGGAGAAGAGUGGUGAUGGUGGGAGCUGCCAAUAAAGAACUAUCAAAAAAGACGAAGUCUUUGUCGUCCAGGCUAGAGUGCAGCUGUGUGAUCUCAGCUCAUUGUAACCUCCACCUCCUGAUACAAGCAAUUCUUCUGCCUCAGCCUCCUGAGUAGGUGGGACUACAG
rnacentral:lncRNA from 10 species